GACGAACGCUGGCGGCGUGCUUAACACAUGCAAGUCGAACGAAGAGCGAUGGAAGCUUGCUUCUAUCAAUCUUAGUGGCGAACGGGUGAGUAACGCGUAAUCAACCUGCCCUUCAGAGGGGGACAACAGUUGGAAACGACUGCUAAUACCGCAUACGAUCUAAACUCGGCAUCGAGGAUAGAUGAAAGGUGGCCUCUACAUGUAAGCUAUCACUGAAGGAGGGGAUUGCGUCUGAUUAGCUAGUUGGAGGGGUAACGGCCCACCAAGGCGAUGAUCAGUAGCCGGUCUGAGAGGAUGAACGGCCACAUUGGGACUGAGACACGGCCCAGACUCCUACGGGAGGCAGCAGUGGGGAAUCUUCCGCAAUGGACGAAAGUCUGACGGAGCAACGCCGCGUGAGUGAUGACGGCCUUCGGGUUGUAAAGCUCUGUUAAUCGGGACGAAAGGCCUUCUUGCGAAUAGGA
rnacentral:rRNA from 1 species